AACCACAUCAUAUUCUUAGGAGGCUGACAAUGGUGAAGAAGAACGCUUUGUGGAAAGCAAAACUUGCGAGGAAAGGAGUAUCCGUGGCAGGAAAUGACAACUUAUCAAUAGGGGGGAGAGAAGUUAUGGGGAACUGGGUACUAUUUCGAAUCUAUGGGGCGGGAGGUAUAUAUAAUACCUCCCUCACUCUCAGUGGAGUAUCAAGCGGCGGGUGGGAGAUGUUGCACCCUGGAGACAUCGUGCACGUUGCCGGUGAACUGUAAGCGCCUUUCAGAGGGUAAUGAGGAUUUUGCUGGCCACAGCCACAACAGAAGACUGAAGAUACACCACUGCUUACCCGCCUCGGUGUAUCUGUGGACGGGGAUAUCUUGGCGUCUAUUCCUACUGACCAACAUCUUCGAUUCCAAGCCUCUGUGGUACGUAUCUGCGCUGGUGAACUCUCUGCAGGGAGUGUCGAUCAUGUUGGCUAGCACCUGCAAGUCCAGCGUGUGCCGUAUGUGGCGGCAACGAUCGAGCUGGUCAGGUGUACGGGUAAAAAUUGGCCGGCAGAGUAGAGAAAGCACCGAGGGCGGUGGACGUGGACGGAGCGGGGCGGCGGGAUGAUGGCACAAGGAGCCGUGCGGGGCUGGCGUUGGGGCCGGUAAAAAAGAAGUGGGGUUUCAGUCGUCCAAGAAAACUUUUGGCAAGUUCAACUACGAGGGAGUCGUCUUCAUUUGGUGGUACUGCACUGCUUCUCAUUGGGGUCAGACGCUGGACACAAAAACAACGCCUGCCGAAAACAUAUAGGUGCAUGUCUCUAAGCUCCUCUUCCGAGUUGACAACACAUCUCCGGGAAUAGCCUACCCCUGCUGGACACACCACUGCCGAGAUCCAAAGUGGCGCCAAACUUAUAUGGAUUAGGAUUAAAAAUCACUAGCACUUAAGGAGAGGGCAAAAACAGCCAUGGAUUUACUAACUAUUUACGUGUCAGACCAAA